rnacentral:rRNA from 1 species
UACAGAGGUCUCAAGCGUUAUUCGGAAUUACUGGGCUUAAAGGGUGCGUAGGCUGUGCGGAAAGUUGGGUGUGAAAUCCCCCGGCUCAACCGGGGAAUUGCGCCCAAAACUACCGUGCUUGAGGAAGACAGAGGUGAGCGGAACUUCGGGUGGAGCGGUGAAAUGCGUUGAUAUCCGAAGGAACACCGGUGGCGAAAGCGGCUCACUGGGUCUUUUCUGACGCUGAUGCACGAAAGCUAGGGGAGCAAACGGG